GAUUCAAAUAGGGCGUUAGGCGCCUUCAAGGCUCCAAAUGGGAAGCCGGUGUAAAUCCGGCGCGGUCCCGCCGCUGUAAUCGGGGACGAACGCCGCAUCAGCCACUGUUUCCAACGAAAUGGGAAGGCGCGGCCAUUAGAAAGAUCCGAAAGUCAGAAAACCUGCCUAACGCCGGGAAGUGCA
rnacentral:ncRNA from 2 species